rnacentral:lncRNA from 1 species
AGCAUGCGUCCUAUGAAGAGGCAUGGAGUAUGACUACGCUUGCGCAGAUCAUCAAUUACCUCACGGCUCCUCACCUCCAAUCACCUGUCUCCACAUUUCAGACCACCUUGCCGCAACCCAGAAAUAUCCCUGAGUCCCCAUUUUCAGGGAAGUGGAUUUGAGACUCACGCUCUCACUUUCUCACAGACUGCCUUGUGAGUAAACCCUCUCUCUGCUGCAGUCUUGUCGUCUCGGUGUUUGGCUUUCCAGGCCGCAGGCAAAAACGAACUUGGUGUGGUAACAGCUAUGUGAGUGAAGAUUACUCCAGAUAAUUCCAGCCCCCGGAUGCUGAGUUGCUUCAAACUUUCAAGUCUUCCUGGCUGAGACCCUAGACAGGGGUGGAGCAGAGGAGUGAACAAACCUGUGAAUCCCUGAUGAAGCUUAUCUCACUAGUGAAUGUCACAUUUUCUAGCAGAAUUGGACAGGCAACUUAGGAGCCUUAAGCCCAGCUCUCCUGAAAUCAACAUGCUAAAGAUACUACACAGAGAGGGCAAGGUUUGACGACUGUUGAUGAUAGAGAAAGGAGCUCAUGGAACUGAAAUUUUUCAAUAUCCUGCAAGGCCUUUCCUUGUCCAACUGAAGAAGAACACGACUUCAGUCAGUGGGUCUCAGCAGGUGCCACAGAAGAAGCACAUGCCAGCUGUGUGUUCUACAGCCUCGAGCUGUUCAAGAGAGUCAGCCAUCUGUCCCUCCACUAUAAGCCAGCAAGAGCACAGUCCUAACUCUUAUCAGAGAGCGCCACAUUUGGAAGAUGGACUUCCUGGGACAUUAAGGACAAACACACACUACGGAGCAGAGUCGCCUAAGCAUAAGUAAUACACAUAUUCUUUAAAAUAUUCUUAGUUAAAAGCCAAUCAUAAAUCAAUGCUUUGAACAAAACAUUUCCACUUAAAUUUGCAUGGAACAGCUUUAUAUUUAGACUUGAGGCUUUAUUUCUUUAAGAGGCAGUCUAUGACUAAAGAAAAAUUAUUUCAGGUGGUUUAUGCUUGGAGAGGUCUCAAGAUCCAUUGAUUUUCCUAGGGAUACACUCACCGAAAUAGAUGAGUUCCAGAAAAUCUCUUAAGGGUGUGCAACCCAAUUAAAUCUGGGCCACAUAGUCCUUCCUGAAGUAGAGCCAUAUUUUAAAAAUGCAGCCUGAUAGUCAAAUACAGUCAAAAGCAAGCAUCUGUGUUAAUACCACCUCAAUAUAGAGAUAGAAAUAUUCCACUCUCCAGGAGCCCCCUGUAUAUCCUUAAUUGAUUAUAAUUCCACUCAUCUAAAAAUAACCACUAUCCUGAAUUUUAUGCUAGUCAAUUACUUCUCUUUAUAGUUUUAAAUCUAUACAUACAUUUCUGAAAUAGCAUAGUUUAUUCUUUGCCUGCGGUGAAUCGUGUGUAUACACAUACAUAUGUAU